GGAGCUAUCGUCUAGUGGUUUAGGACGCAAGGUUUUGAUCCGCUUCAGACCUCCUUGCAACCUGGGUUCGAACCCCAGUAGCUCCU
rfam:Rhodosporidium toruloides NP11 unplaced genomic scaffold Scaffold33, whole genome shotgun sequence.